CAACGUUACUUUAAGGAACAGAAUGCCUGUACACAGGGCUACAGAAGGCUUUCAAGAAGAAUCAUGUCCUGAACGAACAUGGCUCAGGUAUUUAAACUGAAUUCUUAUCUAGUAUUCUUAUGAUACAAAGAGAAAGAUAAUUGUUAAAGAUGGGUAAAAGCUAACAAUAGGCAAUGGCAUUUUUUUUUUACCAUCAAAUACUUAUUAAGUGCACAUAUUGUAUUGACAUCACUGCUGGGGUAGUAGAAAUUAUAAAGUAGGGGUCAGGCGCGGUGGCUCACGCCUGUAAUCCCAGCACUUUGGGAGGCUGAGGUGGGCAGAUCAGGAGGUCAGGAGAUCGAGACCAUCCUGGCUAACACGGUGAAACCCCAUUUCUACUAAAAAUACAAAAAAUUAGCCAGGCAUGGUGGCACGCACCUGUAGUCCCAGCUACUCGGGAGGCUGAGGCAGGAGAAUCGCUUGAACCUGGGAGGCAGAAGUUGCAGUAAGCCGAGAGAGUAAAAAUGAAGCUUCCCCUUAAGAUGUCUCUACCUAAUUGGAAAGAUUGUUUUAAUGUUGUUUUAAGGGAAUAUAUGUCUCUAACUACCAAAUAAAGAGAAAAGCAGUAAAUGAUAGAAACCAGAGGAGAAAAAUAUCACUAAGGGCUUGGAAUGGGUGAGGAAAAUGUCAUAAAGUGGGUGGAACUGAGGCUAGGCCUUUAGAAACAGAUUUAGAAGUUCAGACACAGAACUGAGGGGAGAUAUUACAAGUGGAAAGAAUAGACUCAACAUGUGAAGACGCAAAAAGUCAGAGUGUUAUUUUGGAGACUUACAGAAACUGGUUGUCUUAGUUCAUGCUGCUAUAACAAAGUACCACAGACUGGGUGGCUUAAAAACAACAAAAAUUUCUCACAAUUCUAAUAGCUAGAAGUCCAAGAUCAGGGUGCCAGCAUGGCCUGGUUCCGGAGCAGGCCCUCUUCCAGGUUGCAGUAGGUUGAUUUCCCAUUGUAUUCUCAUACAGCAGAAACAGAGCAAGCUAGCUCCCUGGCUUCUUCUUGGUUUGUUUGUUUGAUUUUUGAGACAGAGUUUUCACUCUUGCUGCCCAGACUGCAGUGCAAUGGUACAGUCCUAGCUCACUGCAACCUCCACCUCCGGGUUCAAGUGAUUCUCCUGCCUCAGCUUCCCAAGCAG
rnacentral:lncRNA from 1 species